rnacentral:misc_RNA from 1 species
UUUUCUUUUUUUUUUUUUUUUGCACGAGGAUUUGAUCCUAGACAUAAUCCAGUAUUAGUUUUUGCUAUCAGUAAUUGGAGUUAACUGCAGCUUUGCAAACGUUUCUUCCGUGAGCAGAGGACUCUGUAAGUAUUGAAGUUGUUACUCGUUUAGUCUUUAUUUUGAUCUCAUGUGUCGAUGCCAUUAAAAGAUAGAUUUAGACUGUCACGGCCCUUACUGUUGGAAAAACCAGUAGAGGUUUUUGGACUCUGGAGAUGAUCACCACAUGUUUUAGUCUUUGCUGCCAAUCAAUAGGUGUCUUGAUGGUAGCGAGAUUUCUAGAUAUAAAAUGAAGUGACAAUUACAGUCUGUAUCAACUAGUUAGUCAAGUGGCCUCUUAUCAUUCAGGCACCUUUAUUGACUCUGGAAGGAAACUAAAAUAAGGAUUUAAUGAAGGGAAAACAACUGCUGCCCUUGAAAAAUUCCGUCUGCUAUCUCCUCUAUUCCUGCUUUCUGUAGCAAAUUAAAUAUGAUAUGGCAUGAUCAACAUCCCUUUAAGGGCAGCUUUGCUUCCCCAUAUUUAUUCUCUCUUUCUCGCUCAUAUUGAUGUUGCUGAAGAUGCCAUUGUUAAUUUACCUCAAUAUUUGGAAAUUCUUCAAUUUUUGGCUUACGCAAAGAUCUGGAAAAACCUAAAAUUCAUAUAUCAGGGGGAUUUGUUGAUUUGAGGUGUUUAUCCUGCAUUUGUUUUAAAAUUCAUGGAGGUGGAUUUAGGUAAAAAAAUUAUGCAAGUGAUAGAAUCACCCUUUUCCAUUGUAUAAUCUCUUGGCAUUGUAGGCAUACUUACUAUAAGUAUUAAUUUUUAUUCAUUUUUGUCUUCAGGGUGCACAAAAAUUAAUCUUAAUUGUAUGAUUGGUUUGUAUUCUUUAAUUUCUGCAAAAGCAAGUCACAUUUAAUCUUUGACUAGAACAUUAUUUUAGCUUCUUUUCUUUUUCCUCUCUGUUCCAUGAUACUUCAAUAUGCAUAAUUUUUCUUGUUUUGUUAGCUAAGUUUUAUGUAAUUUCAAUAUGCAUUUCAUGAUGAUGCGGCUGAAUCAUAUGUCAGUUUUUUUCACUCUUCUCUCUGUUUUCUUUGUCCUGAGAGUAUGAGCUCCUCAUCUACUCAACUUUCUGCCUUGAGAGGAAUGGGCAUUUAUGAGCCAUUCCACCAGUUCAGCUCGUGUGGGGACACCUUCAGAGGUGAUGGUAGACUAAAUAUUAGUUCAUCCACAAUCGUGCAGGUGGAUAGUGGGGUGAACAACAAGACUGAAUAUGCAUCUCAAGAAUCAAUGGAACCUUCCAGAAUUGAUCAAGGAGCAAACAUACCGGCUGAUAAGGUACAGAGACGUUUAGCACAAAACCGUAACGCUGCUCGCAAAAGUCGCUUGCGGAAAAAGGCUUAUGUUCAACAACUAGAAUCUAGCCGUUUGAAGUUGGUGCAGUUGGAACAGGAACUUGAGAGAGCUAGGAAACAGGGUGUAUACAUAAGCAGUCCACCAGAUUCUUGUCAUUUGGGAUUGCCUGGAACUCUAAAUUCAGGAAUCACUACAUUUGAAAUAGAAUAUGGGCAUUGGAUUGAAGAGCAACAUAAACAGAUUUCUGAACUUAGGAGUGCAUUGCAAGCUCGUAUCACUGACAUAGAGCUUCGGAUACUUGUGGAAAAUGGCUUGAACCACUAUAACAACCUUUUCCGCAUGAAAGCAGAUGCUGCAAAGGCUGAUGUCUUCUAUUUGAUUUCUGGCAAGUGGAGAACAUCAGUAGAACGAUUUUUUCAAUGGAUUGGAGGAUUCCGGCCAUCAGAGCUUCUCAAUGUUCUCAUGUCACAACUUGAGCCUUUGACUGAUCAGCAACUUGUGGAUGUUUGUAACCUUCGACAAUCAUCUCAGCAAGCCGAAGAUGCUCUCUCGCAAGGAAUUGAUGAACUCCAGCAGAUCCUGGCCCGGAGCAUAGCAGCAGAUAUAACAAGUAGUGGAAGUUACCAGGCUCAGAUGGCUGCUGCAAUAGAAAAGUUGGAAGCACUGGAGGGCUUUGUAAACCAGGUACUGAUCACUUAUUGGCUAUUUCCCUCAAGUCAGAUGUGAACUUUAUUUCUCUGUAUUCUUUCAUGCUUCCUUGGUUCCUUUCUUAUGGCAUCUUUUCUUUAUUUUCUUUCUAAGUGGUGUGGAAGAAACAGAAUCCACUCAUCCAAAUGGGAUUAUGAUUAUUGUUAAAGAUAUCCUGUUAUGUUUGUUUCCAGUGAUCAUCUAAUUGCUCUGCCUGACGACCUGUAAACUGGAAAAUAGUUAGCUUCGUAACUUUUGUCCUUUGGAGGGUUAGUAUAAGAAUUUGUGUCCAUGCUUGAUAGUUAAUAUGGAAAAUUGGCAGUUAUUUAGAUUGUGCAUCCUUUGGCGCUUCUUGUUGUCUGAUACGUAUUCACUGAAUGUAUAAUACCUAAACCUUUGGGUUCCAUAAGUUUAUUUUCUCUGAUCAUUCUUUGCCUGUCAAUGGGAAAGAAGAAACAAGAGAGAGCCUGGAUGGGUUGAAGAUUCUUGACUAGUAUACUUAACGAAACUGUUAAUUAUGCAUAGCUAACAACUUUUCUCUCAAUUUCUCAGCUUUCAUUGGCUUAUGCUGUCUUGAAACAGGCAGAUCACCUUCGACAACAAACUUUGCAACAAAUGUCUCGGAUCCUAACAACACGGCAGGCAGCUCGAGGUUUACUUGCCCUGGGAGAAUAUUUUCACCGUCUCCGUGCUCUAAGUUCACUAUGGGCUGCUCGUCCUCGUGAACCCACCUAGUUUACAGACAUAAGAACCAGAAAAACCACGACAUCUAGGUUGAUUUACCACUAGCAUUCAUGCCUUGAUGCUAAAGAAUGUAUACAUAUAUAUGAUCAACUCUUUAAAUCCGCAUCUGGUUUUCCACAGCAGCUUCUAAAAAGGUGUAAAUAUGAAUGUAUGUCAGAACUCAGAAGCAAAAAAUAGGUAAAGAAGUUGAUGUUCAAUACAGCAUAGCGUUGGAGGUAAUUCCCAUUAUUAAUUUGAAAUGCAGAGUACGUUUGAAUUGAAUGGAUUAGUGGAACUCUGUGUAAACUUGUUUGUUGAGGUAAUUGCCAUCAUUCUUGAGUUUCAAUGAAGCUUAAAAUAAAACAAAA